ACGCCGCGUGAGUGAUGAAGGUUUUCGGAUCGUAAAACUCUGUUGUUAGGGAAGAACAAGUUGGGUAGUAACUGACCCUACCUUGACGGUACCUAACCAGAAAGCCACGGCUAACUACGUGCCAGCAGCCGCGGUAAUACGUAGGUGGCAAGCGUUGUCCGGAAUUAUUGGGCGUAAAGCGCUCGCAGGCGGUCCUUUAAGUCUGAUGUGAAAUCUCGCGGCUCAACCGCGAACGGUCAUUGGAAACUGGAGGACUUGAGUACAGAAGAGGAGAGUGGAAUUCCACGUGUAGCGGUGAAAUGCGUAGAGAUGUGGAGGAACACCAGUGGCGAAGGCGACUCUCUGGUCUGUAACUGACGCUGAGGAGCGAAAGCGUGGGGAGCGAACAGGAUUAGAUACCCUGGUAGUCCACGCCGUAAACGAUGAGUGCUAGGUGUUAGGGGGUUUCCGCCCCUUAGUGCUGAAGUUAACGCAUUAAGCACUCCGCCUGGGGAGUACGGCCGCAAGGCUGAAACUCAAAAGAAUUGACGGGGGCCCGCACAAGCGGUGGAGCAUGUGGUUUAAUUCGAAGCAACGCGAAGAACCUUACCAGGUCUUGACAUCCUCUGCUAUUCCUAGAGAUAGGAAGUUCCCUUCGGGGACAGAGUGACAGGUGGUGCAUGGUUGUCGUCAGCUCGUGUCGUGAGAUGUUGGGUUAAGUCCCGCAACGAGCGCAACCCUUGAUCUUAGUUGCCAGCAUUUAGUUGGGCACUCUAAGGUGACUGCCGGUGACAAACCGGAGGAAGGUGGGGAUGACGUCAAAUCAUCAUGCCCCUUAUGACCUGGGCUACACACGUGCUACAAUGGAUGGAACAAAGGGAAGCAAAACCGCGAGGUCAAGCAAAUC
rnacentral:rRNA from 1 species